rnacentral:misc_RNA from 1 species
UUUCCGUAGGUGAACCUGCGGAAGGAUCAUUCAUAAUAAGUGUUUUAUGGCACUUUUUUAAAUCCAUAUCCACCUUGUGUGCAAUGUCAGGGUUGAUUUUUCUCUCGAGAGGAUCAACCCCAAACAUCAACUAAAUCUCAACUCUUUGUCUGAAAAAUAUUAUGAAUAAAACAAUUCAAAAUACAACUUUCAACAACGGAUCUCUUGGCUCUC